GGAAAGAUCUUCUCUAACUUGCACAACAACUCCGGUGCAAACUCCUCCAUGUCUUCUACCACGCCAGGCAACAAUUCUUUCGCACAAAGAACACGAAAGAAAUAGCUCAGCUCCGCCAGUACUAGCCAUUCAUCCUCAGGAAUAAAGCCACGUAACAUCACCGGCAUUACCCGCUCUAGCCAUAUGUGCCAAUCAUGACUCU
rnacentral:lncRNA from 1 species